AAGGAUAUGGUAGGAGAGCGUUCUGUAAGCCUGCGAAGGUGUCUUGUAAAGGAUGCUGGAGGUAUCAGAAGUGCGAAUGCUGACAUGAGUAGCGAUAAUGCGGGUGAAAAGCCCGCACGCCGUAAGCCCAAGGUUUCCUGUUCAACGUUCAUCGGAGCAGGGUGAGUCGGCCCCUAAGGCGAGGCAGAGAUGCGUAGCUGAUGGGAAGCAGGUUAAUAUUCCUGCACCGUCGUAUGAUGCGAUGGGGGGACGGAUCGCGGAAGGUUGUCUGACUGUUGGAAUAGUCAGUUUCUGGUUCAUAGAAGG
rnacentral:rRNA from 1 species